UGUUUGUAUAGUGUGUGUGUAUAUAAUGCAGUGUGUUUUUGUAUAGUGUGUGUAUAUAAUGCAGUGUGUUUGUAUAGUGUGUGUGUAUAUAAUGCAGUGUGUUUGUAUAGUGUGUGUGUAUAUAAUGCAGUGUGUUUGUAUAGUGUGUGUGUGUUUGUAUAGUGUGUAUAUAAUGCAGUGUGUUUGUAUAGUGUGUGUGUAUAUAAUUCAGUGUGUUUGUAUAGAGUGUGUGUGUAUAUAAUGCAGUGUGUUUGUAUAGAGUGUGUGUGUAUA